rnacentral:ncRNA from 13 species
GGUUUCCGUAGGUACGCACGUUUGCCUACCGGAGACCCCGCGCGACUCUAAAGAAGUGCCCCAGUCGGCCCCGAUAAGGGGUUGGCGACGCCGUCAAUCUGCUCCGGGAGCGCCGUCCGCGGCCGUACCAGAAGCCCCUUUGGGGGUCCACAGAUCAAACGACAGCGGCCGCCCCGGGCGGUUGAGAUAUGACCGGCCCGCUUUUAUCGGACGGCGACCUCGCGGAACCUGCGGAAGGAU